UACGUAGGGGGCAAGCGUUGUCCGGAAUCAUUGGGCGUAAAGAGCGUGUAGGCGGUCCGGUAAGUCGGCUGUGAAAGUCCAGGGCUCAACCCUGGGAUGCCGGUCGAUACUGCCGGACUAGAGUUCUGAAGAGGCGAGUGGAAUUCCUGGUGUAGCGGUGAAAUGCGCAGAUAUCAGGAGGAACACCUACGGCGAAGGCAGCUCGCUGGGACGGUACUGACGCUGAGACGCGAAAGCGUGGGGAGCAAACAGG
rnacentral:rRNA from 1 species